UGGCGGACGGGUGAGUAACGCGUGGGUAACCUGCCUCAUACAGGGGGAUAACAGUUAGAAAUGACUGCUAAUACCGCAUAAGACCACAGCACCGCAUGGUGCAGGGGUAAAAACUCCGGUGGUAUGAGAUGGACCCGCGUCUGAUUAGGUAGUUGGUGGGUAACGGCUUACCAAGCCGACGAUCAGUAGCCGACCUGAGAGGGUGACCGGCCACAUUGGGACUGAGACACGGCCCAA
rnacentral:rRNA from 1 species